rnacentral:rRNA from 1 species
UACAGAGGUCUCAAGCGUUGUUCGGAUUCAUUGGGCGUAAAGGGUGUGUAGGUGGCGCCGUAAGUCGGGUGUGAAAUUUCGGAGCUUAACUCCGAAACUGCAUUCGAUACUGCGGUGCUUUGAGGACUGGAGAGGAGACUGGAAUUUCAUGGUGUAGCGUGAAAUGCGUAGAGAUCGAUGAAGGAAGACCAGUGGCGAAGGCGGGUCUCUGGACAGUUCCUGACGCUGAGGCACGAAGGCCAGGGGAGCAAACGGG